CCAGACUCCUACGGGAGGCAGCAGUCGGGAAUAUUGCGCAAUGGAGGAAACUCUGACGCAGUGACGCCGCGUAUAGGAAGAAGGUUUUCGGAUUGUAAACUAUUGUCGUGAGGGAAGAAAUUGACAGUACCUCAGGAGGAAGCUCCGGCUGACUAUGUGCCAGCAGCCGCGGUAAUACAUAGGGAGCAAGCGUUAUCCGGAUUUAUUGGGUUUAAAGGGUGCGCAGGCGGAAUGUCAAGUCAGCGGUAAAAUUUCGGGGCUCAACCCCGUCGUGCCGUUGAAACUGGCGUUCUUGAGUGAGCGAGAAGUAUGCGGAAUGCGUGGUGUAGCGGUGAAAUGCAUAGAUAUCACGCAGAACUCCGAUUGCGAAGGCAGCAUACCGGCGCUCAACUGACGCUCAUGCACGAAAGCGUGGGUAUCAAACAGGAUUAGAUACCCCUGUAUAC
rnacentral:rRNA from 1 species